CCAGACUCCUACGGGAGGCAGCAGUGGGGAAUAUUGCACAAUGGGGGAAACCCUGAUGCAGCGACGCCGCGUGAGCGAUGAAGUAUUUCGGUAUGUAAAGCUCUAUCAGCAGGGAAGAAGAUGACGGUACCUGAGUAAGAAGCCCCGGCUGACUACGUGCCAGCAGCCGCGGUAAUACGUAGGGGGCAAGCGUUAUCCGGAUUUACUGGGUGUAAAGGGAGCGUAGACGGCGAAGAAAGUCUGAAGUGAAAGCCCGCGGCUCAACCGCGGGACUGCAUUGGGAACUACCGGGCUGGAGUGCCGGAGAGGUAGGCGGAAUUCCUAGUGUAGCGGUGAAAUGCGUAGAUAUUAGGAGGAACACCAGUGGCGAAGGCGGCCUACUGGACGGUGACUGACGCUGAGGCUCGAAAGCGUGGGGAGCAAACAGGAUUAGAUACCUCUGUAUA
rnacentral:rRNA from 1 species